AACGAACGCUGGCGGCGCGUUUUAGGCAUGCAAGUCGAACGGGCCAGCAAUGGCCAGUGGCGAACGGGUGAGUAAUACAUGGAUCAUCUACCUCCGAAUGGGGGAUAACCCAUGGAAACAUGGGCUAAUACCGCAUAACACGGAGUGGGAGCCUUCCUUCUCCGUCAAAGCUGGGGAUCGCGAGACCUGGCGUUUGGAGAUGAGUCCAUGGCCUAUCAGCUUGUCGGCGGUGUAACGGACCACCAAGGCGAUGACGGGUAGCCGGCCUGGAGAGGGUGUACGGCCACACUGGAACUGAGACACGGUCCAGACUCCUACGGGA
rnacentral:rRNA from 1 species